UUGCUGGAGCUCUGAGAUGCAGAACGUAGAACGAUACUGAAGUAUGGACUGGGUCUGAGCUGCCGCACAGCUUUGAAGAAAGUCUGAGGCACCCUGGAGAGAGACCCGGGCUUUCAGUACCCUUCUCAGGCCCCCAGCCCUUCUAGAGCUUUCCUCGACGAGAUGUGUCAGCUUGCCCUGCACAAGAUUUUGCCUUGUCCGGGAUCAUAGACCAAUGCUAAGUGGCAGCAGCAAGCCCUUAAGCAGAUUCCUAUUGAGGACAUUCCUUACUCUGUUUCCUUGCCAUGCCACAGUGUUACUGCCGCGUCCUUGUUCUUGAAGCUCCCAAGAUGACGACGAGCCACUUCCAAGAUGGCAGCAAGCCUCAUGUUCUCUGACCUGGGGUUCUUGGCCUCAUGGAUUCCAAGGAAUGGAACCUUGGGCCAUACUGUGAGUGUUAUAGCUGUAUUAGAAGCCAUGGGUCACGGAAGAGAACCAUGGAACCCAGUGACUAGUGUUCAGCUCGAUUAGGAGGAACCCCGCACUUACCCAUGCAGGAACAAUAGCGAACCUUCAGCCGGAUCCAAAGUGGCAACCGGCGCCUCCCUGGAUCAGAAAUGCAGUGGACACCCUGCCGGAUCUGGAGCGGGAACAUCAACGGCAGGUCUGGGAUGGCGGUGAACAGCAGUGGUGGAUGGGGGUCCCUGUUGUGAGGACGGCACGGGAGAGAUGACUGCCUUCCAGCCUAAGGGAUUGUGUGCACUGAAGACAGCCACGGAAAAGCAUCCUGGGAAAAGCAUCAUUGCGUGGAAUAGAACAUUUCAACAGCUCAAACACACUGGCAAUGCUCCAGGAGAGGAAUGACUGUUUCCUUCCCAGACAUGUCAUUUUGUAUUAGCAGAAGCUGGACAGCUUGAGAAUUAUUGCUUGUAUAUCUGGAAUUAAAUUUCUAGCUCUCCGAAUGCUCAUCCUUUACAGCAGUGCCAUGUUCUCGGAAGUUUAGCCAGUAAUGGUGUUUCCUGCUGCAAUAAAUACAAGUUGGGGAAAGUUCGCCACAUCCACUCUCCUUCUUUAUUGAACAUAAUGAAUGAUCACCCAUUGCAUGGAUAACAAAGCAAUCAGGAAAGAAAACCUUUCUUGUUCUUUUUUGGCUCAAUGAAAGGCAGUACACAUGCUUGCUAACAGCUAUAUGGCCAAAGAAAACACUCAAACCUGCGGGUUUGUUCUUGCUUGGGGAGCAGGAGAAGUCAAUGCCAUGAAGCCAUUCUAAAGUGGAUCGGGUAGUGGAGAUGUAAUAGAGAUCAUUUCUAUUUCCACUGAGCUUUAAAACUUGGUGGAAAGAAAACUGACUUCAAUCAAAUAAUGCUACCAAGAUAUAAUGUAAGUGAUAAGUGCAAAGAAGAAGAAGCGUUAACUGUAGAGCGUCUACACUGGGGAAUCCUGGUACACUCUGGAAAAUGCUGAAGCGUGUCUUUGAGAACGUGGCGUUUGAAUUGAAAUCUCAAGUUCAGGGACUAGGAAUGACGAUCUGAACCAAGGGAAGAGCUUUUUCCAGGAUGGGGGUUGGGACCAUGUGAAGCCCUGGGGAAGAUGGAAGAUGGUGAAUGUGAGCUGAGGUGAGUGGAGAGAGAGAGGACAGAGACAAGGCAGGCAGAGCAAACGCUUGAUCCUGAGGGACAUCGGAGGCCAUGCUGUGAACUUGGCCCUUUCUUUUAUCUGCAAUGACCUGUCUGAGAGAUUUCAUGCAGAAGAGUAGCACGAGUGCCUUUGGAAAUGGCCAUCAGGCGGCCAUGUGGUUCCUAUUGCUUGGAAGACAACAGGACACCGCUUGGAAGCAACUCCAGGUAAGACACAGGGCUCAAGACGAUGUUUUGAUUGAUCCUACCGUCUACCAAUAGGUAUCAAGGACUCCUGACGUUUCAGGUAUGGCUCGGGGGUUGAGACAGAGCAGUGGGAAAAUGACAAAGGCCCUGCUGUUCAUUCUACUGGGUGCGUCAAGGGCUAAGAAGGUCAGUCACAAAGGAUAAUGUGGGAGAGACAAGAAUGGAACAAAAAAAAUGACAGGAAUCAAAGUAGAUCUAUGCAUUUACACUGGGGAAAAGUCAAUGUUCUGAGGGGAAAGGAGAACACAACAGUGAACCUUACUCUGAACCAGUGUCAAACAGUUAGCAAAGUGUAGAAAUUAGCUGAUUUUUUUUUCGCAUGUGUACCCCUUAAGAGCAGGAGGGGAAUUUUAUUAGAACCCCCUUUUCUAGACGGAUAAUGGCCAAGCUGUUCAUUUUCUGUGAUGUGCAGUUCUGUAAUCUUUCAAAUGAUCAUCAACUCUACAUCUAGCCUACAGAUUCACAACUGAAGCACGGUAAAUAUGGAGCACCUGAAAGUGCAGAGCUGCCAUGUUUACUGAAGCACUUAUUACAUAAAAAUAAUAUUUGUUAUUCAAUUGUGUUCUAAAUUUGAACAUGGCACACACAAUUCUGGUUAUAUUAACUACUGGAGUUAAUGAAAAUGAAGGAAGUCUACCUAAACUGAUAUGUGAGAAAUUAAAAGCAGAAUAAACACCCACUCACAGUGAGUGGCAGGUAUUCUAAUACUUUCUAAUGUACUUUCAUAGAAUGUUUACAGAAAUAGAAAUGACUAAGAUUCAUUUUUGAAGACAAUUUUGUGGCUAAUGGAAGUAGUUAAUUUGUAAUGUUUGAUAAUCUAGAGCUUUUUAAUCUUAGAGCUUCACUAAGUAACUUAUAUAUCAUGAAUCCUAAAUGUUCACUAAGUAACUUAUAACACAAUUAUCACACUUAUAACAAUUCAUUGUUAUAAGUUACAUAGUGAACAUUUAGGAUUCAUGAUUGACUCUCUUGAAACUGUCCUGGAUAGUUCAA